rnacentral:rRNA from 1 species
UACGGAGGGGGUUAGCGUUGUUCGGAAUUACUGGGCGUAAAGCGUACGUAGGCGGAUUAAUAAGUUAGAGGUGAAAUCCCAGGGCUCAACCCUGGAACUGCCUUUAAAACUGUUAGUCUUGAGAUCGAGAGAAGUGAGUGGAAUUCCAAGUGUAGAGGUGAAAUUCGUAGAUAUUUGGAGGAACACCAGUGGCAAAGGCGGCUCACUGGCUCGAUACUGACGCUGAGGUACGAAAGUGUGGGGAGCAAACAGG